UGUGUAAGCAGAAAGUCAGAUCCGGAGUGGUGGAGCCCGGCUGCUUACUGUAAACUCACUUCAGAUGAGGGACACUCUGUCACCCAGAAUGCAAAGCCACGUCCAGAGCCAAAGAUGCAGAUGAUUGAUUAUGUACCAAUGGGUGGUCCGCGGGAUGUGCAGAUGACAUGGGAGCCUACUAGACCGUUUUAGAGGAAAGUAGACCAGAAGAUAUUGACAGUUGACAGCCAAUCCCCUACUGUACCCUUCUGGAGGAGGACAAAGUCAAACUGUCUCAGAGCAGCAGGCGACGCUGGACAGGUGGACACCACAUCACUGAGCGGAGGUGAGACGUGUGGAGAGCCGGAGGUGAGACGUGUGGAGAGCUGGAGGUGAGACGUGUGGAGAGCCGGAGGUGAGACGUGUGGAGAGCUGGAGGUGAGACGUGUGGAGAGUCGGAGGUGAGACGUGUGGAGAGUCGGAGGUGAGACGUGUGGAGAGCUGGAGGUGAGACGUGUGGAGAGCUGGAGGUGAGACGUGUGGAGAGCUGGAGGUGAGACGUGUGGAGAGCCUGAGGUGAGACGUGUGGAGAGCCGGAGGUGAGACGUGUGGAGAGCCGGAGGUGAGACGUGUGGAGAGCUGGAGGUGAGACGUGUGGAGAGCUGGAGGUGAGACGUGUGGAGAGCUGGAGGUGAGACGUGUGGAGAGCCCGAGUUGAGACGUGUGGAGAGCCGGAGGUGAGACGUUUGGAGAGUCGGAGGUGAGACGUGUGGAGAGCCGGAGGUGAGACGUUUGGAGAGCCGGAGGUGAGACGUGUGGAGAGCCUGAGGUGAGACGUGUGGAGAGCCGGAGGUGAGACGUGUGGAGAGCCGGAGGUGAGACGUGUGGAGAGCUGGAGGUGAGACGUUUGGGGAGC